rnacentral:rRNA from 1 species
UACGUAGGUGUCGAGCGUUGUCCGGAUUUAUUGGGCGUAAAGAGCUCGUAGGCGGUUUGUCGCGUCUGCCGUGAAAGUCCGGGGCUCAACUCCGGAUCUGCGGUGGGUACGGGCAGACUAGAGUGAUGUAGGGGAGACUGGAAUUCCUGGUGUAGCGGUGGAAUGCGCAGAGUAUCAGGAGGAACACCAAUGGCGAAGGCAGAUCUCUGGGCCGUAACUGACGCUGAGGAGCGAAAGCAUGGGGAGCGAACAGG